rnacentral:rRNA from 1 species
UACGAAGGGGGCUAGCGUUGCUCGGAAUCACUGGGCGUAAAGGGCGCGUAGGCGGAUCUUUAAGUCGGGGGUGAAAGCCCAGGGCUCAACCCUGGAAUUGCCUUCGAUACUGAAGAUCUCGAGACCGGAAGAGGUUAGUGGAACUGCGAGUGUAGAGGUGAAAUUCGUAGAUAUUCGGAAGAACACCAGUGGCGAAGGCGACUAACUGGACAUGUAUUGACGCUGAGGUGCGAAAGCGUGGGGAGCAAACAGG